rnacentral:misc_RNA from 1 species
CCGUCAAUUCAUUUGAGUUUUAAUCUUGCGAUCGUACUCCCCAGGCGGGGCACUUAAUGCGUUAGCUGCGUCGCAGAAACCGUGGAAGGUUCCCACAACUAGUGCCCACCGUUUACGGUCUGGACUACCAGGGUAUCUAAUCCUGUUCGCUCCCCAGACUUUCGCUCCUCAGUGUCAGUAUUGGCCCAGAGACCUGCCUUCGCCAUUGGUGUUCCUCCUGAUAUCUGCGCAUUCCACCGCUACACCAGGAAUUCCAGUCUCCCCUACCAAACUCUAGUUUGCCCGUAUCGAAUGCAGGCCUGAGGUUGAGCCUCAGGUUUUCACAUCCGACGUAACAAACGACCUACGAGCUCUUUACGCCCAAUAAUUCCGGACAACGCUUGCACCCUAUGUAUUACCG